UACGUAGGGCGCAAGCGUUUGUCCGGAAUUAUUGGGCGUAAAGAGCUCGUAGGCGGCUUGUCACGUCGGGUGUGAAAGCCCGGGGCUUAACCCCGGGUCUGCAUUCGAUACGGGCUGGCUAGAGUUCGGUAGGGGAGACUGGAAUUCCUGGUGUAGCGGUGAAAUGCGCAGAUAUCAGGAGGAACACCGGUGGCGAAGGCGGGUCUCUGGGCCGAUACUGACGCUGAGGAGCGAAAGCGUGGGGAGCGAACAGG
rnacentral:rRNA from 1 species